rnacentral:rRNA from 1 species
GUCCACGCCCUAAACGAUGGGUACUAAGUGUCGGCGGUUUACCGUCGGUGCCGCAGCUAACGCAGUAAGUACCCGCCUGGGGAGUACGGCCGCAAGGUUGAAACUCAAAGGAAUUGACGGGGCCCGCACAAGCGGUGGAGCAUGUGGUUUAAUUCGACGCAACGCGAAGAACCUUACCCAGGUUGGACAUGCUCGUGGUACGAACCUGAAAGGGUGAGGACCUCGAAAGGGGAGCGAGCUCAGGUGCUGCAUGGCUGUCGU